rnacentral:rRNA from 1 species
AGAAUGAACGCUGGCGGCAUGCCUAACACAUGCAAGUCGAACGAGACCUUCGGGUCUAGUGGCGCACGGGUGCGUAACGCGUGGGAAUCUACCCUUGGGUUCGGAAUAACAGUGAGAAAUUACUGCUAAUACCGGAUAAUGUCGCAAGACCAAAGAUUUAUUGCCCAAGGAUGAGCCCGCGUAAGAUUAGCUAGUUGGUGGGGUAAAGGCCUACCAAGGCGACGAUCUUUAGCUGGUCUGAGAGGAUGAUCAGCCACACUGGGACUGAGACACGGCCCAGACUCCUACGGGAGGCAGCAGUGGGGAAUAUUGGACAAUGGGCGAAAGCCUGAUCCAGCAAUGCCGCGUGAGUGAUGAAGGCCUUAGGGUUGUAAAGCUCUUUUACCCGGGAAGAUAAUGACUGUACCGGGAGAAUAAGCCCCGGCUAACUCCGUGCCAGCAGCCGC